UAUAUCGUCACCUGGGAGGCACUCUCC
rnacentral:piRNA from 1 species